CUCGUGUCGUGAGAGUGUUGGGUUAAGUCCCGCAACGAGCGCAACCCUUAUCCCCCAGUUGCCAUCAGGUAAGCUGGGAACUCUGGGGAGACUGCCGGUGAUAAACCGGAGGAAGGCGGGGAUGACGUCAAGUCCUCAUGGCCCUUACAUCCCGGGCUACACACGUGCUACAAUGGCAGGUACAGAGGGCUGCGAAGCCGCGAGGUGGAGCGAAUCCCAGAAAAACCUGUCUCAGUCCGGAUUGAAGUCUGCAACUCGACUUCAUGAAGGCGGAAUCGCUAGUAACCGCGAAUCAGCAGGUCGCGGUGAAUACGUUCCCGGGCCUU
rnacentral:rRNA from 1 species